GUCUCCGUGCUGCUAUGUCUUCUGGGAUCAGCAGGACCCAGCCUCCUGCCCCGCCCUGGGACGCGGAGCGGUGACCUCCAGGCGCGGUAAAUCGCCGCGGCGCCUGGGAUCCAGCGGCGAGUGCACCGCCGCGGGGAGUCGUGUUCUCAGACUUGUCAGCAUUUCAGCACCCAGUUAUGACAUGUCACGUGGGCUACUACUGGUAAAAAUGUGAGCAUCCAGAUGAGUGCAUUUUUCACUUUUAAAGUGCCAUGAAGUCUACACCCAAAAGAGCACAUGCAGCGGUGGGAGCUGAACCAGGAAAAAUACAACAGGGGGAGCAGAACAUGUAGCACCCAGGACUGUGCACAUCAGGGUGCCUAAUGGGCAACUGCUGGUAGAAUGUCUGACAUCAACUGGGUCUAGUAUAUCAAUUUAAAUAUGUGUGUGCAUAUUACAUCUGUGUGUGCAUUUAUAUAGAAAAAAUAGUCAACC
rnacentral:lncRNA from 1 species